UCUAUCUUCUGGAACAUAGCCGUACUCCAUUUCCACUUCUGCAUAUCAUAUCUGCCAGUCGCCUGCCUACAACCUUCCGCUGCUCAUUCACCUCCAACCAUUACGACUGCCUGCUCAACUGGUUUUGCUGCUUCAAGGCAACAUGCCUCCUCCACCUCCUCCUCCCCCGCCACCCCCUCCUGCGGCUGGCGGUCCACCAAAAUCCACGAACUUACCAAGCAGGUCUCCCAAAGCAGCUGCACAAGGCCGGGGAGCUCUUCUCUCAGACAUCUCGAAAGGUACCCAUCUCAAGAAAACCGUAACAAAUGAUAGAUCGGCCCCUGUAAUUGGAAAGUCCUCCGGAACAUCGGGUGGUCUUUCAGUUGGCGGAGCCCCGCCGGUGCCUAGCAUGCCCAAGCCCCCUAACGGAUUAGUCCCGCCUGUCCCUGGUGGAAAUCGAUUGCGGAGUAAUAGCGACCAGGGCCGUGGAGGAGCUGACUCGAGCGCGACUCCUGGUGCUAUUGCUCAUGAAAGCGGGACGAUCCCUUCUGCUCCGCAAUUAGGUGGAUUAUUCGCUGGCGGCAUGCCUAAGCUUAAGAAGCGUGGUGGAAUAGACACGGGCGCGAGCGCGGAUGCUUCAUACCUUUCAGACUCUGAAAGCUCUCGAAAACCUGGCCCGUGGACUCCCACUGGCAGUGCUCCACCACCACCACUACCAAGUGGUCGUCCGCCACCUCCAACACCAGGUGGCCCUCCACAGGUCCAAGAGAACCCCCUAGUUGCAAAUCUACGAAAGAUCCCCCCCCGCACGUCAGGAAGGCCUUCAUCCUCAAUCUCAUAUAUCUCACUAAAUCAGCUCC
rnacentral:sRNA from 1 species